rnacentral:rRNA from 1 species
AAAGCGUGCGCAGGCGGUUUUGUAAGACUGUCGUGAAAUCCCCGGGCUCAACCUGGGAAUGGCGAUGGUGACUGCAAGGCUAGAGUUUGGCAGAGGGGGGUAGAAUUCCACGUGUAGCAGUGAAAUGCGUAGAUAUGUGGAGGAACACCGAUGGCGAAGGCAGCCCCCUGGGUCAAAACUGACGCUCAUGCACGAAAGCGUGGGGAGCAAACAGGAUUAGAUACCCGGGA